AAUAUUGUCAAUGGGCGCAAGCCUGAUCCAGCCAUGCCGCGUGCAGGAAGACGGCCCUACGGGUUGUAAACUGUUUUUGCAGGGGAAAAAACCUCCCGACGAGUCGGGAGCUGAAUGGACCUUGACAAUACAGAUCGCCUAGCUCUGUGCCAGCAGCCGCGGUAAUAU
rnacentral:rRNA from 1 species